rnacentral:rRNA from 1 species
UUGAUCCUGGCUCAGAAUGAACGCUGGCGGCGUGCUUUACACAUGCAAGUCGAGCGAGGCGGGUAGCAAUACCCAGUCGAGCGGCGAACGGGUGAGUAACGCGUGGAUUAUCUACCCUGAGUGUGGGGGAUAACCCGGCGAAAGCCGGGCUAAUACCGCAUAACAUCGAAAGAUCAAAGGGGGAGCAAUCUCCCGCCAUUGGAGGAGUCCGCGUCCGAUUAGCUAGUUGGUAGGGUAAUGGCCUACCAAGGCGACGAUCGGUAGCCGGCCUGAGAGGGUGAUCGGCCACACUGGAACUGAGACACGGUCCAGACUCCUACGGGAGGCAGCAGUGGGGAAUUUUGCGCAAUGGGCGAAAGCCUGACGCAGCAACGCCGCGUGGAGGAUGACGGUCCUUGGAUUGUAAACUCCUGUCAGCAGGGAAAAAUGCAAACCGACCUCAUACGUCGGUAAGUUGAUUGUACCUGCAGAGGAAGCCCCGGCUAACUCUGUGCCAGCAGCCGCGGUAAUACAGAGGGGGCAAGCGUUAUUCGGAAUUAUUGGGCGUAAAGGGCGCGUAGGCGGCUUGACAAGUGGAUGGUGAAAUCCCUCGGCUUAACCGAGGAACUGCCCUCCAAACUGUUUUGCUUGAGGCCGGGAGCAGGUGAGUGGAAUUCCCAGUGUA